rfam:Thalassospira sp. TSL5-1 contig0006, whole genome shotgun sequence.
CAGCGGUUGUCCAAAUACCGCAGACACUAAAGAGGCACACCAUCAUUGCCCGCCGUGCGGAAUGGCAUCUUCCCAUUCUUAUAUCGAGGCAAAAUUCGCGAACCGGAUCAUCCGUGUUCACGUCUG